rnacentral:rRNA from 1 species
UACGGAGGGUGCAAGCGUUAAUCGGAAUUACUGGGCGUAAAGCGCACGCAGGCGGUUUGUUAAGUCAGAUGUGAAAUCCCCGCGCUUAACGUGGGAACUGCAUUUGAAACUGGCAAGCUAGAGUCUUGUAGAGGGGGGUAGAAUUCCAGGUGUAGCGGUGAAAUGCGUAGAGAUCUGGAGGAAUACCGGUGGCGAAGGCGGCCCCCUGGACAAAGACUGACGCUCAGGUGCGAAAGCGUGGGGAGCAAACAG